rnacentral:rRNA from 1 species
AUGCCGCUGGGAGAGGGGCUCGUCGAGGAUCCCCUCGACUCGACGGAUCCGCGAUGGAGGUGCUUGAGGAGGGGCUUCUUCUCCGGACUCCAUGGAGAUCGUAAAGGCACCCUUGUCAUUGCAAAAAUCAAGAGAAGCUAUGAAGGGGCCUACAUCGUAAUGAAGAGGGGCAGGGUGCAAAAGGAAGCGUGCCUUUUCUUGAUCUCUUAA